rnacentral:rRNA from 1 species
CCUACGGGAGGCAGCAGUGAGGAAUAUUGGUCAAUGGGCGAGAGCCUGAACCAGCCAAGUCGCGUGAGGGAAGACGGUCCUACGGAUUGUAAACCUCUUUUGUCAGGGAGCAAGGAGCGCCACGAGUGGUGCGGCGAGAGUACCUGAAGAAAAAGCAUCGGCUAACUCCGUGCCAGCAGCCGCGGUAAUACGUAGGGGGCAAGCGUUAUCCGGAAUUACUGGGUGUAAAGGGAGAGUAGGCGGCAAGGUAAGCGAUAUGUGAAAGCCUUAAGCUUAACUUAAGGAUGGCAUAACGAACUAUCUAGCUAGAGUACAGGAGAGGAAAGCGGAAUUCCUAGUGUAGCGGUGAAAUGCGUAGAUAUUAGGAAGAACACCAGUGGCGAAGGCGGCUUUCUGGACUGAAACUGACGCUGAGGCUCGAAAGCGUGGGGAGCGAACAGGAUUAGAUACCCCGGUAGUC